ACCUAUUCUAAUUUAUAUUAGAAAAUGUUUAGUUUGUUGCUUGAUUGUGAAAUAUAAUAUUUAGAAUAAUUUCUAAAAGCAGUAAGUAAUAAAGUCAACUCAUUUCUGCCAGUCAGAGGCUAUUCUCAAUAUUUGAUAUAUUUCUUUCCAAUCCUUUUAUGUGCAUAUGCAUGCAUUUAUGGAUUUUCUGUUCAUCAUUGGAAUAAUAUCAUAUAUUCAAUUUUGUACUCUGAUUUAUUUUCACUAUAACUUUUUCUAUAUGAAUAUGCCUCAAACUCGUUAAUUUAAUGGCUGAUAACAUUCCUUUAUAAGGAUAUACCAGUAUUUACUUACCUUUUCUCUAUUAUUUUACUUUUAAAAAGUAGUUGUGAUCUGCUACGUUGUUACUAUGUAAGAGGUCUUCUUCCUAAAAAGUUUACAUGUACCAUCACGCUGAAUCUUCAUGACAGCCCUACGAUUGGGUACUAUUUUAAUUCCCAUUUCACAGAUGAGGAAACUGAGGUUUAGUGAGGUUUGGUGACUAGUAAGAGGUGGAACUAGGGAUAUUAAUACUUCAGUGAAUAUUCUCACCUUUACAUAUUUGUAUCUGCAAAUAGUUUCUCAAGAUAGCUUCUCAGAAGUGGAAUUUCUGGAUCAAAGGGUGUAACCUUUGUGUCGUUAUUUUAGGGUUCUAAUGUGUUCCAACCGACAGUAUGGGAAGCUGUCCACAUCACAACAUCCUUACUCCAAACACUGUGGCAUGAUUGUGGUUGAUUCCACUGUCCCUUGAUUGCUCCCUAGUGAGGCCAGACUUCCAUUGGUUCAUGUGUUGAUACCUUUGUAUUUUUCUUCAACGAACUGUCUAUUCAUGUCCUCUGCCUAUUGCCAACUGACUGUUUUUCAAUAAAUUUAAAAGAGCCCUUUGCAGACUUAGGGUAUUAUUGUUUGCUUUAGUCUAUUUGUGUCAAGUAUUUCAUUUUGUUUCUGAGUUUGCCUUUUUUUUUUUAAUUUUGGUGAGGAAGGUUGUCACUGAGCUAACAUCUGUGCCAGUCUUCCUCUAUUUUAUGUGGGAUGCCGCCACAGUGUGACUUGACCGAGCGGUGCUUGGUCCACACUCAGGCUCUGAACCUGCCAACCCCAGGCCGCUGAAGCAGAGCACGUGCACUUAACCGCUAUGCCAUCAGGCCAGCCUCUCUGAGUUUGCCUUUUAAUUGUGAUAUUUUUUAUGUAGAGCUUGGAUUAGCAAAGUUUUUCUUUAAAGGGCCAGAUAGUAAAUAUUUUAGCCUUUGUGGGCCAUAUGUUCUCCAUCACGACUUCUCAAUGCUGCCAUGGUAGCUGGAAAACAGAGACAGAUAAUACAAAAACUCAAGGGAAUGGCCAGAUUUGAUCCCUUGUAGUUUAUAAACCCUGAUGUACAAAAAUUUCUAAUCUGACGUUAGAAAAUCUGCCAAUUGCUCCUCUUCGAGAUUUCCUCCACUGCUUUUACACUCAUUUAACCCAGAUCCUUGACGGGCACCUCCUGCCCUAUAGAGACUGCUGAAAACCCGCCCAGACUCCAAUUUGGCAGUUGGUAACAGUUCAACGUCUUGUUGCUUCUAGACACUACUUCCUCUUCCCCUCCACACACAUCAUGAUGGCUUCCUUUGUUUUACUUCCUUUUGCUUCCCUUUGUCUCCCUUCUCCUUUCUUUGUUAGAGUAUCAGGGAAAUUCUUCUUGUCUCCCACAGAGCAAUGUUUAUUACUCAGACCCUCUACUGUCUCCCUUUCUACUUCAUGAACUUUCUCCCACAAAUGAGUUCCAUUCAUAAGUGGAAUUGUGGUGAAUAAAAUUUUCCCCAUCUCAUUAUACAUAGACAAACUAAACCAAGCUCAAGAUCAGAGAUACAGCCAUCCAUAUUUUAUUUUGGCUUCCUUUUGUGCAUUUGACUAUUUAGUCCUUUUGGUCUUUGUAUUGUGGUGUAUGCUUUGAGAAAGGAUGCCAACUUUCUUUCAUAUUGUUAACCACUUAUCCCAAAAAUAGACUUUAGUAUAUAUAUAGAAGAGUGAGUUUAUGAUUAAAUUUGGCAUUCGAAAUUAGAGGAGAAAGAAUCAUUAAAUAAUGCUGGGACAUCUUCUCGGUGCAUUCUCUGCCUAUCAAGUUCUACCACCGCCAUGCUGUUUUGAUUACAAUCUAUUAUAAUAGCUCUUAAAAAAAAUGUCCUGGCUACUUGCACCAUUUUUGCUUCCAGAUAAAUGUUAGAUUCACUUUUUCAAAUGUUAGAUUUGCUUUAGCCCAUACUGUUAGGAUUUUUAUUAAAACUAUUUAAAUCAUGAUAUAACAUAGGAAGAAUGUAUAUCUUUACACCAUCUGAUCUUCUGGCCAGGAGUAUCUAUCCAAAUCUUACUUUGUAUCUUUUUAGGAAAAUUUUUUAGUAUUUAUCAUAAUCGGGCUCAAAAAAUUCUUAAUUUCUUAUUUGAAUUGAGAAUUUUGAAAUUUAUUAACCAGGGAUUGAUGUUCCAGGAGCGCAAUUUACUACCAUUUUCAUGGAUGAUUUUUACACCAAUAAUCAUUAAUGAGUGGACUUUUUGUUUUCUGCUAUAAAAACAUGUCCAUAAUUCUUUUAUUGGGUCUUUGUUCUCUUUCCUCCAUAUCAGUCAUUUUCCUUUUUCUCUUUUCUCAUUCUCUUUAAGCUUUCUCUCUCCAUUCUGGGAGUUUCUUCAGGUUGUUCGACAUUACUGAUUCCAUUUCUACAGUGUCCAUUCCAUUCUUUACCAUCUCCAAGAAAGACAUUUCUAGCACUCCAAGUUCUGUUUCUUUGCAGUUAUUUCUUUAAUAUCCUUUAUGUUCUCUGUUCAUUGACUUUGCUCUACACAAAGGAUAUAAAAACAACUUGGACUCUAUGAAACGAAAUGAAAAAACCAGGAGGAAAGACUAGGUUAAAAGGAGAAGAUUGAGGAACAAAGAGUUGUGUUUGUUUUAAUCCUGCUGCUUCCUAUAGAAGGUAACUUCCAGAGAAAAAGAGUGUUCUAUCCAAAAGCAAUGUUUGCAAACACAUCUUUCCCUUGGACUCUUCUUAGCCUCUCUCGCUGUUGACUGCAUCUUACCUGGAGGAAGAAACUGCGUCUUGCCUGGAGAAUGAGUUGAAAAAGUAAACAAACCCAAAAAUCAAUGAAUUGUAAAGGGCAGGUCGGUGAACACAUUCCAAACCCAUAUCCAGAAACGUGAUGGAGAUUCCUGCCAAGAUGUUCAUAUCUGAGGCUUCCAGGUCUAAGACCACUGUGCCUGUCAGCUCUGGAUGGUGACAUUUGUUAAACACUUCUCUGAGAAGUUAAAGACGUGCUUCACAAGGCUUUGCAGCAGGAAUGCCGAGAGCCACAGGAGCCUGCCAGAAGGGUGGGAGGCAGAUCCACUCUGCCCUACAAAUCUUGUUUCCAGGCAGAAAAGAUGCAAGCAGCUGCUCAGCCUGUGACUCAGUGAUUCCCAGCUGUGUGGGUGCUGAUCACAUGAAUCCCAAAGGUUAAAAAACGUGGGCCACUGGGCAUCAAGUAUUGGUCUUGAACAGCAUAGGAGCUGGGCAGAGGCCAGAAGGACUCCUGAGGGGAGGUCCUAAUUGUGCCUCUUUGGGAUCCAGUGACAGGCAUGGUAGGAUUAAGAUGGAUGGAGGAGAAUGAAUAAUGAAGCUCCACACAGCCACUGUGAUCCUCUCAUCCAGCAGGAGAUCAUUCUUCUCAAGGGCAAUAGUAUCAGAUGGUGGUGAAGAGCUCAAAGUCUGCCUCUGACAUAGUAACUUUGAUUAGUCAGCCAUUUUGGUUCACCUCUUCGUCAAGGUGUAGGGAGGAGUACCAGCUCGCCAGUGUGCCAUUAGGCAGGACCAUGUGACAAGUUUUGGCCAAUGUGCUGUAAGCAGAAGUGAUGUAUAUCAUUUCCAGAAUAUAACUGCUCCAGCAUUCUCUUCACUGCCAUGGCAACCAAGGGCCACGUUCCCACAUUGUGAGGCUUCAAAAUGGUGGAGCCUCCCUCAGUCUGGGUCUUUGAGUGAUUACAUGAGCUAGUAGUACACAUAAGGAAUAAUUUUCUGUUGCUUUAAGGCAUGGAAUUUGAGCACCAUUUGGUGGGCUUUGAGGAUUAUUGAUUACUGUAGCAUAACCUAGAAUAUUUUGACAAAUACAAUCUCUUAUUAACUGAGUGAGCAACUCUCUGAAGCUCUCUGAGUAUCGAUUUCCUCAUUUGUCAACUGGAGAAAAUUACAGCACUUGCUUAAUAAAAGGGAUAAAAAAUAUAUUGCUUGUAAAGUGCUAACCACUGUGUCUAGAACAUAAUAAGUACCUUGCAAAUGUUACCUCUUAGCCUUAUUUGAUUCUCCAGGAGAUAGGAAGUAAAAAGAGCAUUCUUCUGUCAAAUUAUCUCAAUUCAUAUCUGAAAAGAGAAUCAAAGAGAGAGAGAGACAGAGAAAGAGAGAAAGAAUUCUUUGGAAACAUAUCUCAUUUAUAGAGCAAUUAAUGGGAUCCUCAUCAAAACAACCAACACUUUAUUGCCCAAGUCACACAUGCCAAUGUGUUCAAGGUCCCAUGAGAUCCGAACUACUUGAGCUAUUUUUAGAUAAAUAUCUGAGGGGAAUAAAGGUUUCAACUCCUCAGGACAGCAUUCCCACGUGUCAUUCCUCUCCCUCUUUAUUAUGUCCCAAGAUGAUAGUGGCAGACCUCUGGGAAAGCAGGAUUGAUUUCUAGAGGCUCUUCCUUAUUUUCUCACAGCAGGGAGGGAAGCCGACUCAGGGUGUGGUGUCCCCGCCUGCCUUCUCCACACACACAUUCUCCUUCGGGUGUCUCAGCAUACCAGAGGUGUGGUUAGGGUAGAAAGAAAAUGGUGACUUUUGCCAGCAGUCAACAAGUUGGAAAACCUCAUCAGUUAAGACCAGGAAGCCUCUGGUUGUGAGUCCCUCCAACCAGCAAGCCUAGAGCUAAUGGGCAGUAGAUCGAGGUGCUUGAGAAGAAAAAGAGGAGAAAGACUCAUUGGAUACUUGUGUAUUUCUUGAUACCUUCUCGGUCUCUUAGUUGUUUUUCUUCCUCCACUGGAAGCAGGGUGAUCACUGAUUCAGGAUUGCAGAGGACCAAAGAUGAAGAGGAAUGCUGGGAAAUAAUACGUAGAAGGAAAGAAGACUUGAGUCACCACGUCAGACUGAAAUCCAGUGUGACAUCAGUCUCAAAAUGUUUUGUUCUUUUGGGGAUAAUGCACCAAGUUAGCAUCCCCCAUUUUGCAUCAUAACCAAGGUUACUAGGCCAGAAUAGGGCACGGCAUGGGUGUUUCAUCCUGAAGCCAUUUCUUUUUUUUUUUUUUUUGCAAAUCAGUGGACCAGAAACUGAAGCAAAUUUCUGGCGAGGGUCACCGGAUCCCACUUUCAUCUCUUUCAGCUUCAAGAAGCCAAGGGUCAGCUCCAGAAUUAGCCUGAUAUUUGAGAACAAAUUGCAUUGCUGGCCUUAAUGUAUAAUAAUGGCAGUUUUUAAUCAACCUCCUCCGUUUUCAGCUAAUAUAAUCUAAAGUAAUCAAUAAAAUUAGUUGUGAGCCAAGCAAUAGGACAAGACCAAUAGGUAAUUCUGUAGUCAUUUUUAAUAUAAAAUCAAGUAAAU
rnacentral:lncRNA from 1 species